rnacentral:rRNA from 1 species
CAGGUGAGUAAUACACAAGAAUCUGCCUUAAAAUCUUAAAUAACCGUAUUUUAAAAUAAUGCUUUGCAGCGAAAAUUCAAGAACCAAAAGUUAAAUACUGUUUUAAGAUGAGCUUGUGCAGGAUUAGGUUGUUGGUAGGGUAAUGGCCUACCAAGCUGAUGAUCCUUAGCUGGUUUGAGAGGACGGUCAGCCACACUGGGACUGAGAUAAGGCCCAGGCUUAUUAGCCAGCAGUGAGGAAUUUUGGACAAUGCGCGAAAGCGUGAUCCAGUAAUACUGCGUGAAUGAAGAAGGCAAAAAAGGUUUAUUUUAUAAACCGGUUGUAAAGUUCUUUCGUUUAUGAAGAUAAUGACUUUAUUAAAAGAAGAAGCCCCGGCUAACUUCGUGCCAGCAGCCGCGGUAAUACGAAGGGGGCGAGCGUUAUUCAGAAUGAUUGGGCGUAAAGAGUUCGUAGGCGGUAUUUGUUGUUAUAUGUAAAAUACUAGGUUUGUUGCUUAGAAAUGCAUUUAAUACUCUUUUACUUGAGUAUAGGAGGGGAUAAC